GGAAGUAAAAGUCGUAACGAGGUUUCCGUAGGUGAACCUGCGGAAGGAUCAUUAAUGAGUUGUCAUGGGGUUCGAUGCUGGCAGCCAGUUUUUGGAUGCAUGUGCUUGCCCUAACAAUCAUCUUCUUCCAAACACCUGUGCACAUUUUUGAGGGAGUCUUGAGUUGGUUGCCGCUCUUGGGUGAUAUUCUCACAUUCCCUUAAAUCAUUAUACGCUAUUAACAAUGUUGAACGUGCUCUGUGCCGCAAGGCCAUUAAUAUAAUACAACUUUUAACAACGGAUCUCUUGGCUCUC
rnacentral:misc_RNA from 1 species